AUUGAACGCUGGCGGCAGGCUUAACACAUGCAAGUCGAGCGGAGCGGCGGACGGGUGAGUAAUGCCUAUGACUCUGCCUGGUCGUGGGGGAUAACGUCCGGAAAAGGGCGCUAAUACCGCAUCCUAUCAGAUGAGACUAGGUCGGAUUAGCUAGUUGGUGGGGUAAAGGCCUACCAAGGCGAAGAUCCGUAACUGGUCUGAGAGGAUGAUCAGUCACACGGGAACUGAAACACGGUCCGGACUCCUACGUGAGGCAGCGGGGGGGAAUAUUGGACAAUGGGGGAAAGCCGUAUCCAGCCAUGCCCGGGUGUGAAGAAGGUCUUCGGAUUGUAAAGCACUUUAAGUUGGGAGGCGUUACCAACAGAAUAAGCACCGGCUAACUUCGUGCCAGCAGCCGCGGUAAUAC
rnacentral:rRNA from 1 species